AUUGAACGCUGGCGGCAGGCCUAACACAUGCAAGUCGAGCGGUUGAGAGUAGCUUGCUACUUGAUGCAGCGGCGGACGGGUGGGUAACGCGUGGGAAUCUGCCCUGUAGUGGGGGACAACAGCCGGAAACGGCUGCGAAUACCGCAUCCGCCCUACGGGGGAAAGGGGGGGAUCUUCGGACCUCUCGCUAUUGGAUGAGCCCGCGUCGGAUUAGGUAGUUGGGAGGGGAAAGGCCUACCAAGGCUACGAUCCGUAACUGGUCUGAGAGGAUGAGCAGGCACACUGGAACUGAGACACGGUCCAGAAUCCUACGGGAGGCAGCAGUGGGGAAUUUUGCGCAAUGGGCGAAAGCCUGACGCAGCAACGCCGCGUGAGUGAUGAAGGCUCUUGGGUCGUAAAGCUCUGACAGAGGGAAAGAAGUGAUUGGGUGUUAAUACCACCUGAUCUUGACGGUACCCUCAAAGGAAGCACCGGCUAACUCCGUGCCAGCCGCCGCGGUAAAAC
rnacentral:rRNA from 1 species